rnacentral:rRNA from 1 species
UACGUAGGGUGCGAGCGUUGUCCGGAAUUAUUGGGCGUAAAGAGCUCGUAGGCGGUUUGUCGCGUCGACUGUGAAAACCUACAGCUUAACUGUGGGCUUGCAGUCGAUACGGGCAGACUUGAGUUCGGUAGGGGAGACUGGAAUUCCUGGUGUAGCGGUGAAAUGCGCAGAUAUCAAGUGGAACACCAGUGGCGAAGGCGAGUCUCUGGACAUUUCCUGACGCUGAGGCACGAAAGCCAGGGGAGCAAACGGG